rnacentral:misc_RNA from 1 species
AGGGAAUUGAAAGUGGGUUGAAGCCAAGUAUCGAUCUCCAGGGGUACUUGCUUGGUAAUCCAGUGACGGACUAUUACAUUGAUGAUAAUUCCAGGAUACCAUUUAUUCACCGAGUGUCGCUUAUAUCAGAUGAAUACUAUGAGGAUGCUAAAUUGUAUUGCAAUGGUGACUACUUGAAUGUAGAAUCCAACAACACUCUAUGUGUAACAGCCCUUCAAAAUAUCAAACAGAGCAUAUUACAACUUAAACUUACACAAAUUUUAGAACCUCAAUGUGCCUUCUCAUCCAAGAAACCAGGUGAACUAGAAUGGGAUAUUAGAUCUCAGGAAGCAAAUGUUAUUGAUUCACUCCAAG